ACGUAGGCAGCAAGCGUUGUUCGGAGUUACUGGGCGUAAAGGGUGUGUAGGCGGUUGGAUAAGUGUGGUGUGAAAUCUCCCGGCUUAACUGGGAGGGUGCGCUACAAACUGUCUGACUAGAGUGUGGGAUGGGAGAGUGGAAUUCCUGGUGUAGCGGUGAAAUGCGUAGAUAUCAGGAGGAACACCGGUGGUGUAGACGGCUCUCUGGACCAUAACUGACGCUGAGACACGAAAGCGUGGGUAGCAAACAGGAUUAGAUACCCUGGUAGUCCACGCCCUAAACGAUGCAUAUUUGGUGUGGGUCAUUCAUUUGAUCCGUGCCGGAGCUAACGCGUUAAAUAUGCCGCCUGGGGAGUACAGUCGCAAGGCUG
rnacentral:rRNA from 1 species